UAAUUUAUCAACUUUAAAUAAAAGGUUAAGUAAUAUUUUAUAAUAAUACUAAUAAGAAUACUAAUAUUAAUAAUAAUAUUAUUAUUAAUAAGAAUAAUAUGAUUGAUAAUAUAAUAUUACUAACAAUAAUAAUUUUAUUCGUACUAUCUAUUAGAGUUAUAAAAAUAAUCUAAUUCCUACCGAAAUUUCGGCAAAAUCUCCCCUAAAAGUUGGACUAUCCACCUGUUAAAAUAUCAACAAUUUAUCAAACCACACAGCCCAUUCAUCGGGCAAUCAAUCAAAUCAAAUUUCCCAUCCUCCUUCAAUCUCAACAUCACCACACAAUCAAAAUUAUAAUUUACAAUAACAUUAUAUCUAAACUACCUUAAUCCACACUUCAAUUCUAUUAAUAUGUUAUUAUCAAGGUUCCUUAAUUAAAUCAACACUAAUAUUAUAAAUCAAUUAACUACUCACAAUUAAUAAAUUAAAUUAACUAAAUUAAUUAACUACAAAUAAUAAAAUUAAUUUAAUUAAAUAAUAUUACUAAAAUUAAAUUAACUAACCAAGAUUACUAAAAUUAAAUUAAUUAACCACAAUUAAUAAAAUAAAUUCAUACCCAAACAAAAUAUUAUUUUCUUGCAGGAUUUGGGAUUUUACGCGUACCGGAUUGAAACUACGCGUGCUGGAAGCGAUUGGACCACCUGAGAUCGACGCAGGAGGGGCUGACUUGCAGUGGUGGCGCGACAUGGUGGCGGAGCAACUAGCGGCGCAACUGCAGGCGCUAUGGUCGAAGACGCGCUGGAGCUGCAACUGAGCUGAGGCGCUGCUCCUGUCUACGGUGCUCGCUAGAUGGAGGCUGUGAAGAACGGCGAGCGGCGGUGAGGAGCGGUAUUUGCUCUAUGGCUCCGCUCGAGCUGGUGG
rnacentral:lncRNA from 1 species